rnacentral:rRNA from 1 species
UCUAGAAAGAUCUGGUUGAUCCUGCCGGACCCUAUUGCUAUCGGGGUAAGACUAAGCCAUGCGAGUUGUGCGCUCCCUAGCUAUGUUGGGAGAGCAGCGAACGGCUCAGUAACACGUAGUCAAUCUGCCCUUAGGACAGGAAUAACCCUGGGAAACUGGGAUUAAUACCUGAUAGAUGGAAGCGCCUGGAAUGGUCUUCCGUUGAAAAGUUCUUGGGAACAUGCUCCCACGAAUGCCUAAGGAUGAGACUGCGACCUAUCAGGCUGUUGGUGGGGUAACGGCCCACCAAACCUAUAACAGGUACGGGCCCUGAAAGGGGGAGCCCGGAGAUGGGAACUGAGACAAGGUCCCAGGCCCUACGGGGCGCAGCAGGCGCGAAAACUCCGCAAUGCGCGAAAGCGUGACGGGGUUACCCCGAGUGCCGUCCGUUGAGGAUGGCUUUUCUUCAGUGUAAGGAGCUGGAGGAAUAAAGGGGGGGCAAGUCUGGUGUCAGCCGCCGCGGUAAUACCAGCCCCCUGAGUGAUAGGGACGAUUAUUUAGCCUAAAGCGUCCGUAGCCGGCCUAGCAAGUCUUUCGUUAAAUCCGACAAUUUAAUCGCCGGGCCGCGGAAGAUACUACUAGGCUUGAGGACGGGAGAGGUUGACGGUAGUCCCAGGGUAGGGGUGAAAUCCUAUAAUCCUGGGAGGACCACCAGUGGCGAAGGCGGUCGACUAGAACGUGCCUGACGGUGAUGGACGAAAGCUGGGGGAGCGAACCGGAUUAGACACCCGGGUAGUCCCAGCUGUAAACGAUGCGGGCUAGGUGUUGGGGUAGCCACGAGCUACUCCAGUGCCGCAGAGAAGUCGUUAAGCCCGCCGCCUGGGAAGUACGGUCGCAAGACUGAAACUUAAAGGAA